UUAAAUAUUAUGUAUUAAUCUAAGCCAUUUGUGACUAAGCCAUUUAUAAUGAUUCAAAAAAAUACGAGUUGUGCAAAAUAUGCGGGUCUGACCUUGGUUAUACAUUUACUUUUCAUACGAUGUAUUAACAGUGAAGCUAUAUGCACUAAAUUAAAAUAUGGUACUCCUGGAGAUGAUUAUAUGCCCGUGCUGGUUAAAUACUGUUGUCCAGGCUAUGAAGGAGUUGAUGCCAACCAAUGUUUCCCCAGAUGUGAUAUGGGCUGUCCCCCAAACAGUCAGUGUGCCAUUCCUAAUGUGUGUGAGUGUAAUACUGGCUAUGAAAUCGAUGAAACAUACCUCUAUUAUGGACUAGAGACGAUUAAAAGUUGUCGAUCCAAGGGUUUUGCAAUACUUGUUAUCAGUAUUUCUGUUUCUUGCCUUAGUGUGCUCGUAAUUGUGCUCGCACUUAUUGUUCUCAUAAAAUGUCUUCAAAUAAGACAAAAAGAAUCUCACGACUGUUGUGAAAAAAACCAAAAGCAAGAUAUUGGACCAAACCAAACAGAGGAUUAGUCAUCGACUUAUUAAUCAGUCAAGACCUAAAAACAUUUAUGUUAGUUAAUACAAAUAAGCGUUAUUCAUUAAGAUAUUUGUCAUUUGCUUGAAUGCUUACUACCCAUACACUGAAAAUAAAUGCGAAUCUUAUACAUUACAAA